rnacentral:lncRNA from 1 species
UUAGGUUUCCUCCAAACAUGGCUGUGAUAUCAUGACAAGUUUCUUCGGCUUCUAACUUAAAAUCAAUUGGCGGUAAGUGGAGUGAUUCAAAUCUCUUAUAUAUUACUCAAAUCCCUUACAUAUUUUCAACGAGGGAUCUUCUGUUCAACAGUGGACCAAUGAAUGAAUUUUUAUAGGUCAAAUUAUAUACUUAAAAGAAAAUAAAGAAAAUGUUUCACCUAUGGAUUUCGGACCAUGAGAAACGUUAGUAACAGAGCAACCGAAUGUUUCGAAGCUUUUGUGAACAAAACAAUAUCUUAUACAUAUUUAAGGGGUGUUACGUGACAUCUCAUUUGUCUAUUUGAGUCCAUUACUGAUUGGGAAGUUUUCAAACAAUGUUUCUAAACAUAUAUAUUGAUGAGUUUCUCAUCAUUCAGAAAUUUGGGAAAAGAGAACAAAACAACUACUACUUUGUCCCCUUAGAAUUAAAACAGAAAUCUUUGUCCCUAUAGUAUAAACAAUAAUGCUAAUCCCGUUUUGUCAUUUCUAUUAAUUUCGAAAUACAUAUAUUUAAAAAGUCAUGUAAUUUACUGAGGAAGUAAAUAAAAAGAAAAAAAAAAUACAGAGUAAAAAAUCAUAACAUGUCGUCGACUCCUGUUUUUCUUUCUCUCUAACAAAGAGGUGACGAUUAGGUUUCGUUAUCGAAGCCAUCUUCUCCGGCGUCUUAGUUCGUCAGAGACCUUGAACUCAUCGUCACAUCUCUCCUUCGUCCUCCUUCUUUCUUCUCUCCUCUCUAAACACGACAGAGUAGGAUUACUCUGCAAUCUCAGCCUGCUACAAUUGAAGUUGUUCAAGCUCGGAAAAAGCUUCUUGUCGCUGAUAAAGGACGAUUAGCUUCACGUUGUUC